rnacentral:rRNA from 1 species
GGAGAGGGCUAGCGUUAUUCGGAAUUAUUGGGCGUAAAGGGCGCGUAGGCGGAUUAGUAAGUUAAAAGUGAAAUCCCAAGGCUCAACCUUGGAAUUGCUUUUAAAACUGCUAAUCUAGAGAUUGAAAGAGGAUAGAGGAAUUCCUAGUGUAGAGGUGAAAUUCGUAAAUAUUAGGAGGAACACCAGUGGCGAAGGCGUCUAUCUGGUUCAAAUCUGACGCUGAGGCGCGAAGGCGUGGGGAGCAAACAGGAUUAGAUACCCCGGUAGUCCACGCUGUAAACGAUGAAUGUUAAAUAUGGGGAGUUUACUUUCUGUAUUACAGCUAACGCGUUAAACAUUCCGCCUGGGGACUACGGUCGCAAGAUUAAAACUCAAAGGAAUUGACGGGGACCCGCACAAGCGGUGGAGCAUGUGGUUUAAUUCGAUGCAACGCGAAAAACCUUACCACUCCUUGACAUGGAAAUUAUACCUAUUCGAAGGGAUAGGGUCGGUUCGGCCGGGUUUCACACAGGUGU